AAAUGGGUUCUGUUGAAAUUUUAUCUUCACAUAUGUUAAAGGUAAAAGUAAAACUCCCAGGUGCCAUGGCAUUAAACGCUCCCUUUCAAAUGAAAAAAGGUAGAACCGCUCCGUAUCUGCGAGGCCAAUCAGAACAAUUAUCAACUGUUGCAAACCUCCCCAGGUCCCCCCCAUGCGCACAGAAAAAAAGAAGACUGCCUCAGCAUAAAGAAAAGAUAGCAUCAUUUCAUCAGCCCUACCCUACUUCAAGUCUGUGUAGUAGAUUGUAGUAUCAGAAUAGAGAGAGAAGCAGAGGAGUAGAGAUGGCGACGGCAAUUAGAACAGGGAUAACUACCCCGAGUGGGAUGAGCAUCAGCACGGCUGCUUCGCCAGCACCUUCUGCUUCUUCUUGCAAUCGGGUGGUGGCUUUUUUCAAGCCUCCGCCGUCUAGAAGUUCUUUUUUCGGUCAUGGA
rnacentral:lncRNA from 1 species